rnacentral:rRNA from 1 species
UACGUAGGGUGCAAGCGUUAAUCGGAAUUACUGGGCGUAAAGCGUGCGCAGGCGGUUUUGUAAGACAGGGGGGAAAUCCCCGGGCUUAACCUGGGAACUGCAUUUGUGACUGCAAGGCUGGAGUGCGGCAGAGGGGGAUGGAAUUCCGCGUGUAGCAGUGAAAUGCGUAGAUAUGCGGAGGAACACCGAUGGCGAAGGCAAUCCCCUGGGCCUGCACUGACGCUCAUGCACGAAAGCGUGGGGAACAAACAGG